CUGCGGACGGGUGGGCGGGCAGGCCAAAUGGCGCGCCCGAGGCUGACUCCCUGCUUCUCCGCAG
ensembl:miRNA Mir3077 microRNA 3077